GGAGGGCACACACGGCUCCCCAGUGGGGGCUGGGCCUCAGCCAGCAGGGCCAGCUGCUGGGAGAAGGGCAGGGCGGCCCCCAAAUGCAAGUGGUGGGACUUACACGAUCUGUUAUUUCUGAGAAAGACCCAAGGUAGUUUUUUAAACUCCUGAGGUGUGGAGGGUUUUGCUCUGGCCUCAGUGGAGUCCCUACAGCACCCCACCGAGCUGUCGAUGCUAGCCUCUGCCCUCCCCUCAACGCGACAUUCAGCUGGUGACCGCCACUCUGAUAAAGGCGAGUGGGGCGCGGUGCCUGAGCUGAUAACAGGGGCCAGAGCCCUUCUCAAUACACCGCCUCUGUCACCAGGGCACAGCGGCCAUCUGUCACCUGCUCACAGACCUUCUUGGAAGGAAAGUUCUCCGAAGGUCAUACCCAGCCGAGACAGUGCCACUCACCUGCAUCUCCGUGGAGCCGGGGCCCAGGCCCUGCCUACUGACAAGGUGGAAAAAUAGCUCAGGAGAGGUACCAUGGCCAAAGAAAUGGGACUGUUUGGCCCUAAGUGUCUCCUUGGGUGGUCACCUUGAGAAACUCAGGAGUGGGACUUCUGGAGUCUACGGUAAAUGCAUAAAUGCUAACCAGCUCCCAGGGCCGCUGUGCCAUGUGCAUUCCCACCGGCAUUGGAUGAGAUUUGCCACGACUGAAUCCUCAUCAGCGCUUGCUAUGCUCAGCUUCCUUUGCAGGUGGAGCCAAUCAAACAGGUGCACGGUGGUAUCUCAUUGGGUUUUUAUUUUACAUUCCCUCGUGGCUAAUGGUGCUGAAUGCCUUUCGUGUGGUUAUUUUCAUCCAUGUGUCCUCUUUGGUGAAGGGUCUGCUGGUGUCUUUGGUCCAUUUCUAAAUUGGAUAGUUUGGCUUCUCAUUGUUGAGUUUUGAGAUUUCUUUAUCUAUUCUGGAUCCAAGGCCUGCUGGAUAUGUGGUUUGCAAAGAUGCUCUUCCAGUUUGUAGUGAAUCUUUUUAUUCUCUCAAGAAAGUAUUUGUUCUUAAGUCAUGGACAGUGGCCCUCUGUGAUUUCCCAUUGCCCAGGAACUAAUGUCCACCUUCCUUGGCAGGCGACAGGGACUGUCUGUGACCACACCUAACCCGCCGGCCUAACCUGAGAUCUCAGUCCACUCAA